rnacentral:rRNA from 1 species
CGCUUGUGACCAGACUUGGGCGCGGCGGAUCAUCCGGGGUUCUCUCCGGUGCACUUCGCCGCGUUUAGGCCAGCAUCAGUUCGUCGCGGGGGAAAAAGGCUUCGGGAACGUGGCUCCUCCGGGAGUGUUAUAGCCCGUUGCAUAAUACCCUGCGGUGGACUGAGGACCGCGCAUCUGCAAGGAUGCUGGCGUAAU